rnacentral:rRNA from 1 species
UACGUAGGAGACGAGCGUUGUCCGGAAUUACUGGGCGUAAAGGGCGCGUAGGCGGUCGUGACAAGUCACUUGUGAAAUCUCCGGGCUUAACUCGGAACGGUCAAGUGAUACUGUCGGACUAGAGUACAGAAGGGGCAACUGGAAUUCUCGGUGUAGCGGUGAAAUGCGUAGAUAUCGAGAGGAACACCUGCGGCGAAGGCGGGUUGCUGGGCUGAUACUGACGCUGAGGCGCGAAAGCCAGGGGAGCGAACGGG